GACGGAGGAUGCAAGCGUUAUCCGGAAUGAUUGGGCGUAAAGCGUCCGCAGGUGGCAGUUCAAGUCUGCUGUCAAAGACCGGGGCUUAACUUCGGAAAGGCAGUGGAAACUGAACAGCUAGAGUAUGGUAGGGGCAGGGGAAUUCCUGGUGUAGCGGUGAAAUGCGUAGAUAUCAGGAAGAACAUCGGUGGCGAAGGCGCUCUGCUGGACCAUAACUGACACUCAGGGACGAAAGCUAGGGGAGCGAAUGGG
rnacentral:rRNA from 1 species